rnacentral:rRNA from 1 species
UUAGCGGCGGACGGGUGAGUAACACGUAGGUAACCUACCUAUAAGACUGGGAUAACUUCGGGAAACCGGAGCUAAUACCGGAUAAUAUUUCGAACCGCAUGGUUCGAUAGUGAAAGAUGGCUUUGCUAUCACUUAUAGAUGGACCUGCGCCGUAUUAGCUAGUUGGUAAGGUAACGGCUUACCAAGGCAACGAUACGUAGCCGACCUGAGAGGGUGAUCGGCCACACUGGAACUGAGACACGGUCCAG